rnacentral:rRNA from 1 species
GUGCUACACUGACGGGUCAACGGGUGAGGAUAUGCGAGAGCAUUUCCCAAUCUCUAAAUCCGCUCGUGCUGGGGAUCGAGGCUUGCAAUUUUCCCUCUUGAACGAGGAAUACCUUGUAAGCGCGGGUCAUCAUCCCGUGCUGAAUACGUCCCUGCCCUUUGUACACACCGCCCGUCGCUCCUACCGAUUGAGUGGUCCGGUGAGGCCUUGGGAGGGAUGGAUGGACUGUGUUCCACGGACUAUCUGGCCCGAACUUGGUCAAACCUUAUCACUUAGAGGAAGGAGAAGUCGUAACAAGGUUUCCGUAGGUGAACCUUCGGAAGGAUCAUUCGUAGUGGAUAAGUGAACAUCCGACAUGUUCUGUCGGUUGUUUGCUUUUCUAUCAUGUUUCGUGAACAAUUUUAUUCCAUCUUUUUUGUUUUUAACCAUUUUAACCCAUAUAAACCAAAAGUAAAAAAUCACAAAUUUUUAACCAGACAAAAAACUCGUGACGGUGGAUGUCUAGGCUCCAGCAACGAUGAAGAACGCAGCAAAAUGCGAUACGUAGUGCGAAUUGCAGAACCCGUGAAUCAUCGAAUCUUUGAACGCAAGUUGCGCUCGCGGGUAAUCCUGCGAGCAUGUCUGUUUGAGUGUCCGCACAAAUGCGACUUUUGAUCCUUUUUAAAGGGUCUGCUGGUGGGCGUGCAGAAAUGCAGUCAAGUCCGGAUUCCUUCACUGGGAUGCGGUCGCCCGAAGAAGAGAGCGCUAAUUGUCGUAGUUUUGUCUUCUCAUAAAAAUCCUUUGGAUUCUGGGGGGCUUUUGGGUGUAGUUCUCUUCUGGAGGUACUACUGCCUGAUACGCGUCUGAGCGAGCGCUGCGAAGUAAUUUUAUUGAGCAGUCUUCCCACAGUACGUGAAUUAGGAACGCGUUUUAUGCGACCAAAGGUCUUUUGGCCGGGGAAAUAGAGAAUGUACAUUUUACGUGCAAAUAGCCUUGAAAACCACAAAACUUCAUUUUGGAUCUCAAAUCAGACAAGACGACCCGCUGAAUUAAGCAUAUCAUAAG